ACGGGUGAGUAACACGUGGUCAACCUACCCUCAAUGGGGGAUAACUAGCCGAAAGGUUAGCUAAUACCGCAUACCAUCUACGACCGGCAUCGGAUGUAGAUGAAAGGAGCAAUCCGCUCGAGGACGGGACCGCGUCCCAUUAGCUAGUUGGUGGGGUAAUAGCCUACCAAGGCUCCGAUGGGUAGCUGGUUUGAGAGAGCGACCAGCCACACUGGGACUGAGAAACGGCCCAG
rnacentral:rRNA from 1 species